AUGGCUUUCUGGAAAAGUGGCAUCCUGAUCAUAAUUAUAUUUAUCAAGGGAUGUGAUUCUCAGGAUAAAGUUGAUCAGCACACAAAGACUCAAUCUGCUUUUGAAGGUGAUACUGUAACCAUUGACUGCACAUAUCAGACUUCUUAUACAGGCCCGACUCUAUUCUGGUACCAGCAGAAAGUCAAUGGAGUCCCAAAAUACAUGCUGAAUAAAUUCUCUACAACUGGACACACUGAGGAUGAAUUCAAGGAGAGAUUUAACGCAACUCUCAACAAAACUUCAGUUCCUCUGUCAAUCAAGGAUGUGCGAGUGUCAGACUCUGCUGUAUAUUACUGUGCUCUGAGGCCCACAGUGACUCAAACACACUCAACACUCACACAGAAACACUAA